AUUCCGUAAUGAGGGCAUCUUCGUAAUAGUUCUUUAAAUCUUUUCUAUGUUUCAUAUAAGGCCUCGUCAUCCAUCUAUAGGAAGGUAGUGAUCUCAUUCCAUAAUU
rfam:Gossypium hirsutum cultivar TM-1 chromosome 8, whole genome shotgun sequence